AUCUUGAGUCAGCAGAAACAGCUGGUAAUUUGGGCAAUUCCAUAUAAGAGCACUCCUUUCAGCCGUCUUCAUCUCGGCUCGUGCAGCAUCUAUAGGGCCCAGGAUCUAUCCCCAGACUCAUGUGCUCAAGUUUAACUCAUCCUUCUGUUAUACACAAGCUUGGCUCUUGGGUCCUACGUCCCCCAAACCUGUGGUGGCUUACCUGAUGGGCCUUGGGACAUAACUUGAACAGCAUGGGCACACAUUCUCUGUCUGCUGGAGGAUCUCUUCUCUGACAGACACGUUCUCAUCGAGAUCCAAGUCAACAACUGUGGGAUCUGGAGCCAAAUUGUAGUCUUGGACCUUGGGGAUUGUAUCAGCCUCCUCGCUCUGUGCCAUCCUCUACUACUUGCUUUUUUUUUUCUUCUUCUUCUUCUUCCAAACCCCGGUCUUGCAAGUGGAAGGUUUGGGAUUCUAGCUACUAGCGACAUUUUUACUAUAUAACAUUUUAUUAUAAAAAGCUUGAUGAAAGGAACUAGACAUACACACAGACAGGAUACACCCUGGACAGGUCACCAGUACAUCGCAGGGCAGACAGUCACACUCACACACACCCAGGGGCAAUUCAGCACAUCCACACGGCCCGUCUGCAUUCAGUCUUGGACUGUGGGAAACCUGAGAACCUGGAGGAAACCCACACAGCCACGGGGAGAACAUGCAGACUCCACACAGAGAAGGCUGUGCUGGAACUAGCUACAUUUCUUGUUUAUUACUAAUAACUUAAUCAUGUGGGAACGUCCUUGGCUGUGAUAAAACAGUAACUCCCCCUGGUGGUUAAUCGUGGUUUAUUGCUGAAUUCUAUAUGAUAUGAGAUGUGACACAUAACACGGAGUUUAGUCGUGUUUAGCCUACUAUAGUUAACCACCUACAUUAGGAUGAGCACCAUAAGACGCAGUAAUAUCCUUUUGCCACCGGGGGGCACUACAGCCUUGAAAACGGAUCCUUAUAUUCCAACCACAGACCUGUCUUUUUAAAUUGCAUUUUAUAAAUUAAUUCUAUGAAA